UACGUAGGGGGCAAGCGUUGUCCGGAAUCAUUGGGCGUAAAGAGCGUGUAGGCGGCUCGGUAAGUCCGCUGUAAAAGUCAAAGGCUCAACCUUUGAAUGUCAGUGGAUACUGCCGGGCUAGAGUCCGGAAGAGGCGAGUGGAACUCCUGGUGUAGCGGUGAAAUGCGUAGAUAUCGAGAGGAACACCUGCGGCGAAGGCGGGUAGCUGGGCCGACACUGACGCUGAGGCGCGAAAGCCAGGGGAGCGAACGGG
rnacentral:rRNA from 1 species